rnacentral:rRNA from 1 species
UACGUAGGGUGCAAGCGUUAAUCGGAAUUACUGGGCGUAAAGCGUGCGCAGGCGGUUAUAUUAGUCAGAUUUGAAAUCCCCGGGCUCAACCUGGGGACUGCAUUUUAGACUGUAUAGCUAGAGUACGGUAGGGGGGGAUGGAAUUCCGCGUGUAGCAGUGAAAUGCGUAGAUAUGCGGAGGAACACCGAUGGCGAAGGCAAUCCCCUGGACCUGUACUGACGCUCAUGCACGAAAGCGUGGGGAGCAAACAGGAUUAGAUACCCUGGUAGUCCACGCCCUAAACGAUGUCAACUGGUUGUUGGGUCUUAACUGACUCAGGAACGAAGCUAACGCGUGAAGUUGACCGCCUGGGGAGUACGGCCGCAAGGUUG